AUUGACCGCUGGCGGCAGGCCUAACACAUGCAAGUCGAACGAGUGGCGGACGGGUGAGUAAUGUCUGGGCAACUGCCUGAUGGCGGGGGAUACCUACUGGAAACGGUAGCUAAUACCGCAUACCAUCUGAUUUGCCCAGAUGGGAUUAGCUAGUAGGUGGGGUAAAGGCUCACCUAGGCGACGAUCCCUAGCUGGUCUGAGAGGAUGACCAGACAAACUGGAACGGAGACACGGUCCAGACUCCUACGGGAGGCAGCAGUGGGGAAGAUUGCACAAUGGGCGAAAGCCUGAUGCAGCCAUGCCGCGUGUAUGAAGAAGGCAUUCGGGGUGUAAAGUACUUGCAGCGUGGAGGCGUUACCAACAGAAUAAGCACCGGCUAACUUCGUGCCAGCAGCAGCGGUAAUAC
rnacentral:rRNA from 1 species